CCCUUUUUUCGAGCCGCCGUUCGUAGCGCCGCAGAUCCAUCGUCGAAGUUUUGGAUCUCGUUUCCGACGAACUUUUCCGGCGAACCUUCGGCGAGAGUUUCCGGCCAUCUCCGGCAUCCUCCACGAAAACCGUCACCAUCCCGAGGACCGCGACCCCCUCAGUGAGGCACACCUGCAGGUCCUAUCAGCGCCACCAUACUGUGCCCUCUGCCCGCUCCUCUUCGCACGCGCGCCUACUAGUAAGAGCAGGAUUGGCUGCUGCCGCUCCUCUACAGACCGACACCCUACUGCGAACCACGUCCUGGCCACGGGCCUCAAGCUUGGUGUCGCGCCGCCGUGGCCUUGCACUGCUGUGGCGUGCGUUCGACUGGCCAGGCCCCUCCCCUUCUCUGCGUUGUGCAGCAGCAGCACCCCCAUCGCCAUCAGGGCCACCAUGUUCACGUCAAGAUGAAGAAGAGGACAGAGACGGUGAGGAGUAUUUCGGGAGUCCGGAGCUCUUUGGGGAUCAGCAGGACCAGCAAGACCAGCAGAAAUGGUGGUAGCUAUGAGGAUUACCCGGAGGACUAUUAGGCUUGUGCUUCACCAGUCGACCUUUUCUGUGUGAGGACCAUGAGAUAGUUAUCUUAGAUUAUCAUAUUUAUAUUUUCGCUGUUAUGCCAGACUUUGUGAUGUAAUAACUACGUUGUUGUAAACACUGCGAUGAUGGUAUUUAAUUUGUGACU